UAGGGANNCNUCNNNAAUGGACGGAAGUCUGACCGAGCAACGCCGCGUGAGUGAAGAAGGUUUUCGGAUCGUAAAGCUCUGUUGUAAGAGAAGAACGAGUGUGAGAGUGGAAAGUUCACACUGUGACGGUAUCUUACCAGAAAGGGACGGCUAACUACGUGCCAGCAGCCGCGGUAAUACGUAGGUCCCGAGCGUUGUCCGGAUUUAUUGGGCGUAAAGCGAGCGCAGGCGGUUAGAUAAGUCUGAAGUUAAAGGCUGUGGCUUAACCAUAGUACGCUUUGGAAACUGUUUAACUUGAGUGCAAGAGGGGAGAGUGGAAUUCCAUGUGUAGCGGUGAAAUGCGUAGAUAUAUGGAGGAACACCGGUGGCGAAAGCGGCUCUCUGGCUUGUAACUGACGCUGAGGCCCGAAAGCGUGGGGAGCAAACAGGAUUAGAUACCCUGGUAGUCCACGCCGUAAACGAUGAGUGCUAGGUGUUAGACCCUUUCCGGGGUUUAGUGCCGUAGCUAACGCAUUAANCACUCCGCCUGGGGAGUACGACCGCAAGGUUG
rnacentral:rRNA from 1 species